CAGCCUUGAUUCAUCAAUUGCGAACACUCUGGCACACUGGUGACGCUGUUGGUGUUUUCUCCCAAGCAUUUCAAGGUUAAGUAGCAAACCUGACAGUCAGCCUGACAUAUUUCGGCAUGCCACCAAUGAUAAGGACUUUCUCUAUAAAACCGCAAUAUCAUGAUCACAUCUAAACAAUCAUCAGUCGUCCCAGUCUGCAGUCUACACGUAGAUUUCUCCAAUUGUCUCAGAAGCGUCUUUUAUAGCUUUUCUCCCCUUGGAUCUAGGACCCAGUCAAGGUUCACACACUGUAUUUAUUAUAAUGCUUCUUUGGUCUCUGACUGAAGAUGGGAAGGUCCCAGAGAGCGGGGCCUGAUUGCCACAUGGAACGUCAGAGCUGGAAGAGAAGCUGAAACUUCAAGUUUACCUGGUCACCAUGACGAUAUCUGGAUUCUCUGUCUCUCUUGUUCCCGAUGACUUAGGGGCAGUUGGCUCAACCUUCAAGCAUCGAAGAUCUCAAAGUAUUCAAGGCAAACCUAUUCUCAGAAACCCUAUUUCACAGGGAGGAGCCAGUGACUGUUCCUUGCCUGGGCAGGAUGGACUUACUUUGGAGGGUGCCUGUUGCCUCCCGUGAGGAAAGACCGAGAAGCAAACUGUGUGUAGUCCUGGGAAAGGGUGGCAAGAGGAAGGCUUGGAGCUCGGGGCUAAGACAGGUAGGAUGCCCCACGCUCGCCUCGCCUCUGCCAUUUUACCCAAACGUGUCACUGAACGUUAAUAGGACCCGCUUGCCUCACCCAUAAAACCAGAUCAUUUCGGACCCGUUGUCACCAUGAGAGGCAUUUGCAGGUGUGAAUCCCUCUUGGAAACAGAAGCGAUAAAUGAGGGAGAUCGGUGAGGGGUGGUUCUCAUUUCUAACGGAGCGUAAGCAUUUAUUUAAACCAGAAAAAAAAAAAAAAAAAAAAAAAGCUCAGCUUGUUCUAUCUACAGAGAGAAUAAACUCUAGUCUUGUUCCACCUGCAAACUGGAUAGAACGGUCUCGGAUUUGUCGAUCUCCUGUAUCUCUGUUAAGAGCGAACAGGACUCUUUAAACUGGGCAGGGGUAAGGGGGAAGCAGGUGGAAGGAAACAAAAAAAGAGAGAGAGAAAGAGAGAGAGAGAGAGAGAGAGAGAGAGAGAGAGAGAGAAGGCACUGACCCAAUUCAAAAUGACUGCAUAUAUCAGUGUAGAUUUUUAAAGACAGUAAGUGGCCACCUCAACACAAACACAAAAUUUUACAUUCGAGAUUCUUCAGUGGUGAGUAAAAACAAAAAAGCCAAAAAGGACAAAGCAGGUACUAUGUCUGCCAGUGUAUCUAUCAUGGCACAGACCUAGGAUUCUCCCACAACCGGGUGAUUUUUUUUUUUUUUUUUUUGCAAGGGCCAUGACACCGGGGUGUAAUAAAGCAGGGUUAUCGUUUUUGUAGCUGUGAAAG
rnacentral:lncRNA from 1 species